rnacentral:rRNA from 1 species
UGAGGAAUAUUGGUCAAUGGGCGAGAGCCUGAACCAGCCAAGUCGCGUGAAGGAAGACGGUUCUAUGGAUUGUAAACUUCUUUUGUAAGGGAAUAAAAAAGAGUACGUGUACUUUCUUGUAUGUACUUUACGAAUAAGGAUCGGCUAACUCCGUGCCAGCAGCCGCGGUAAUACGGAGGAUCCAAGCGUUAUCCGGAUUUAUUGGGUUUAAAGGGUGCGUAGGCGGACCCAUAAGUCAGUGGUGAAAGUUUGCAGCUUAACUGUAAAAUUGCCGUUGAAACUGUGGGUCUUGAGUGUAAAUAAAGUAGGCGGAAUGUGUUGUGUAGCGGUGAAAUGCUUAGAUAUAACACAGAACACCAAUUGCGAAGGCAGCUUACUGGGAUACAACUGACGCUGAGGCACGAAAGCGUGGGGAUCAAACA